CCAUAGUUAGGGUUUUCAAGCUUUCAAGCUCCAUAGUAAGUGAUCUCAAGCCCCGUUUUUAAUGUUCUUUACGUUUUUGGAGUCCCGGUAGCUUAAUUUAGCUUAUUCUAGCAAAAAUUUAACCUAGGGUUUAUAUUUGGAAAAAUACCCAUAGGUGAAAAGUGUUUAUUUUUAUGUUUUAUGAUAGAAUAUGAAGUUAUAAAUUAUGUUAAACAACUUUUGCUAAGUGAUUUUAAGUGAAAACGAGUAAAACGACAUAAUCGGUAAAAAUACCUAAUGUUCAUAAGUAAGUGUUAGAGUGGGAAUUUGAUGUUGCCAUAGAAGGGGAAAAUGUUCAGCAUGUUAUAAAACAUAAGAAUAAGAGAUGAAGUUUAAUUUCCGAGCCUUGGGGAAAAAUGUAAUUAUGCAAAAGUUUAGGGGCAAAAUUGUAAUUGUGACAAAAUUAGAGUCGAGGGCUGUUUUGAUGAAUGUGAGUAUUAAAUAAGUUAAAUUUACUAUUUUAGAUCAAGAAGAACGAAACUCGAGGUUAGACAAAGGGAAGAAUAAAGUUGAAGACUAAGUUGGUGAAUUGGGCUAUAGUUGGUACCGAGGUAAGUUUACGGUAAAUAAAUACAAUAUUUCAAUAAUUAUUAUUAAUAUUUUUAUUUUCCAGCAAUUAUGCAUUUAUUUUAUGAAUUUAUUUAAUGUUGAUCCAAGCAUAAAAUGAUAGAGAAUUAAAAUUAAAAAGUCUCGUUGAUACAUAAGGAUGGUACUGGAUAUGAAUGUCAUGACAUUUGGGUAAAGAGAUCCCAUGUAAGACCAUGUCUGGGACAUGGCGUUGGCACCGAGAUGAGAGGUCCCAUGUAAGACCAUGUCUAGGACAUGGUGUUGGCACCGAGAUGAGAGGUCCCCUAUAAGACCAUGUCUGGGACAUGGCAUGGGCACCGAGAUGAGAACAUCCCAUGUAAGACCAUGUCUGGGAUAUGGCUUUGGCAUGUUAUUAUCAGAAGAGACCUGAGUAUCCUUAUAAUUCCAAUGUAGCUCAACGGGCUUGUAAACGAACCAUGUUCAUGAAAGUUCAGUUUAAAGCAUAAAUGGCAAGCUCAGGUAAGUUAUAAGAGUUUAAAACUUAUUAUACUAUCAAUUGAUGUUCAACGAUGCAGCAAGAGAUGAGUAAGUUAUGCACACAAGUAUUCUAAGUAAAUAAGCAAGAGAACUAGAAUGAGAUUAACUAAAGAGUAAACUAGAGAUUUAGUCACUUGAGUUUAAUUAUUUGUGUUUAAUGUUGUUAUUUAUUUGCUAGUAAACUUACUAAGCUUUACACUUACUUCUUUUAUUUUUCUUCCUCGUAUAGUAUUGCAAGCUACUUCAAGGAUCCUAAAGAAGUCAGAGAUCGUCCACACUAUCAACCACAACUGCUCGAUAUUUUAUGUCAAAACACGUUUGAGUUAUGGCAUGUAUAGG
rnacentral:lncRNA from 1 species